rnacentral:rRNA from 1 species
GACGAACGCUGGCGGCGUGCCUAAUACAUGCAAGUUGAGCGCUGAAGGUUGGUACUUGUACCAACUGGAUGAGCAGCGAACGGGUGAGUAACGCGUGGGGAAUCUGCCUUUGAGCGGGGGACAACAUUUGGAAACGAAUGCUAAUACCGCAUAAAAACUUUAAACACAAGUUUUAAGUUUGAAAGAUGCAAUUGCAUCACUCAAAGAUGAUCCCGCGUUGUAUUAGCUAGUUGGUGAGGUAAAGGCUCACCAAGGCGAUGAUACAUAGCCGACCUGAGAGGGUGAUCGGCCACAUUGGGACUGAGACACGGCCCAAACUCCUACGGGAGGCAGCAGUAGGGAAUCUUCGGCAAUGGACGAAAGUCUGACCGAGCAACGCCGCGUGAGUGAAGAAGGUUGUCGGAUCGUAAAACUCUGUUGGUAGAGAAGAACGUUGGUGAGAGUGGAAAGCUCAUCAAGUGACGGUAACUACCCAGAAGGGGACGGCUAACUACGUG